rnacentral:rRNA from 1 species
AUUGAACGCUGGCGGCAUGCCUUACACAUGCAAGUCGAACGGUAACAGGUCUUCGGAUGCUGACGAGUGGCGAACGGGUGAGUAAUACAUCGGAACGUGCCUAGUAGUGGGGGAUGACUACUCGAAAGAGUGGCUAAUACCGCAUGAGAUCUACGGAUGAAAGCAGGGGAUCGCAAGACCUUGUGCUACUAGAGCGGCCGAUGGCAGAUUAGGUAGUUGGUGGGAUAAAAGCUUACCAAGCCGACGAUCUGUAGCUGGUCUGAGAGGACGAUCAGCCACACUGGGACGGAGACACGGCCCAGACUCCUACGGGAGGCAGCAGUGGGGAAUUUUGGACAAUGGGCGCAAGCCUGAUCCAGCAAUGCCGCGUGCAGGAUGAAGGCCUUCGGGUUGUAAACUGCUUUUGUACGGAACGAAAAGCCCUGGGUUAAUACCCUGGGGUCAUGACGGUACCGUAAGAAUAAGCACCGGCUAACUACGUGCCAGCAGCCGCCGCCG